rnacentral:lncRNA from 1 species
UACCACACGAUCCAUCUUCUGGAAUCCGAGCUCAGAUGAACUAUUCAGUUUCAUUGACCGCAUAUGUACCCUUUCUAAUCUGCAGCAUCUGGACUUGUCUAAUAAUGAUAGUAUAGUAAGUGUUCCUGAGAGUAUUGGCAACCUCAGGAAUCUGCAUACACUGGACCUCUCUUGCUGUUCACAUCUAGUUAGGCUUCCAGAAUGUUUGGUUAGAAUGGAUAAUGUGAAGAUCUUGAAUGUCACCGGGUGCCGCAAACUGGAAAAAUCUGCACUGUCCCGAUCAAAGAUUUUUGACUUGUUGCCGCAUUUCGUGGUCCAAGCUGAUGAAGGUGAAUCUAGCAGCAACAUCGGUCUUCUACAGUACGCAAAUCCUAAUGAGUUGCACAUAACUUGCCUUGAUAAUGUAAAGUCUGCAGAAGAGGUCCAGAGUAUAAAGCUGAUAGAAAAACAGGGGAUUAAUGAUUUGAAACUUCAAUGGACCAGUGAUGCUUGCAGGUCUGUUGAGGAUAUGGAAGUGAUGGCAAGUCUUGUGCCACCAAGCACCUUGAGGGAAUUUAAUAUGACAGGCUACAAUAGUGUGAGCUUUCCGCCCUGGCUUAUGAACAUAAAGCUUUAUCUACCGGAACUUAGCAAGAUUGAACUGUGGCAUAUAUGUAAAUGCAACAGCUUGCCUGCAUUAGGUCAAUUACAAAACCUUAGAGAGCUAAUUAUUGGAGAAAUGGACAGCAUUACGAUCAUCGAAGAGGAUUUUUGUGGUGGUGCAAGGGCCUUCCCUCAGCUGAAGAGAUUUUGUCUAUACCACAUGGAAAAUCUGGAAGCAUGGAAGACGAUGUACUCCAAUGGCAAGGAUGUUGAGAAAGAAUUCAUGUUCCCUAACCUUAAGGAGCUGUCAAUAAAUGAUUGCCCAAAGUUGAGAAUGGAACCAUGCCUUCCUAGAGCAAAGAAAUGGGAGAUAGAGAACAGCAAUAAUGUAUUAUCAUUAUGGGGAGAAACUCGUGCUACCUCCUCUGUUGCACCUAUGGAUGUGAGUGUAACAGUCAGAUCUGACAAAGCGCCUUUGGAUCAGUGGAAGUUCUUUCACGACCUCCCUUCCCUGAGUACUUUACACAUCAAAUGUUGCACUGAUCGGACAUGCAGCUCCAAUAUGCUAAGCCAAUUCCUGUUCAACAUCAUGUCACGGUGGUUCACAAAUUCUAAUGAUUUGUACAUAACUAAGCUGAUGAAAAGACAAGUUAUUAACGAUUUGAAACUACAGUGGACUAGAAAUGCUGGUGGUUCUGUGGAGGAUGUGGAAGUACUGGGAAAGCUUGUACCACCAAGUAGUUUGAGGGAAUUUAAUAUGACAGGUUACAGCAGUAUGAGGUUUCCUGCCUGGGUUAUGGACAUUACGCUUUAUCUCCCAAGUCUUAGCAAGAUUGAAUUGUGGGAUAUACGCAAAUGCAACAGCUUACCACCACUUGGCCAAUUAACAAACUUGCAAGAGCUAGUUAUAGGUGUAAUGGAUAGCAUUACGACAAUUGAUGGGGAUUUCUGUGGCGGUGAAAGAGCCUUCCCUGAAUUGAGGAAAUUUUGCUUAUGCCGUAUGGGAAACCUCAAGUUGUGGGAGACAAUGUACUCCUAUGACAUGGGUAGUGUGAAGAAAUUCAUGUUCCCAAACCUUGUGGAAUUGUUAAUACGUGAUUGCCCAAAUUUAAGAUUGAAACCAUGCCCACCUAGAGCUAAGAGAUGGGAAAUUGAGAGCAGCGAUAAUGUAUUAUCAUCAUGGGGAGAGAAUCUGUCAUGCAACUCAUUAGACAUAAUUGGAGACCUCUCGUUUAUCAAAUCAUUGUUGCUAGAAGAUAAUACUCAGCCAGAACAUCCGAAAUGGUUGGGUGGCCUCAGCUCUAUCCGGAAAAUGGACAUCACAAGGUGUAAAGAGCUGUCUGAUUUGCCUGGGAGCAUGCGAUAUCUGACAUCCCUCCAGGAGCUUUCUUUGAUAGAUUGUCCAAGAAUAAAAGUGCUGCCAGAAUGGUUGGGUGAUCUUACUGCUCUGAAGAAACUUCAGAUCCGGUAUUGUAGGGGUAUCAACUCUUUGCCACAGAGCAUACAGAAGCUUACCAAGCUUAAAGGACUAGCUAUUUACCACUGCCUUGAAUUGGUAGAGUGGUGUAAUUUAGAGAAGAACAAGAACAUGCUGGCUCACAUAAAAGUAAAGGUAUAUGUCCCGCCAUGCUAUCUGCCAUGUCCUACUUAUCUUGACAGUAGCCAAAUUAAACUACACGGUGAUGCAUUUUCAUCUGCAACAUCCCUACAAGUCUUGGAUUUAAGCAAGUGCCACAUAUACAAGUUGCCAGCUUGCAUCAGUGAAUUGGUGAAAUUGAGGUAUCUCAAUGCCCCCAAGAUUCAAAGUCAAACAAUCCCGUAUUGUAUCACCAAGCUCUCGAAACUAAUUUACCUCAACCUAAGUUGGUCCAGGAUGUUAGCAUUGCCUGAGUCAAUUGGUGACUUGAGAUGUUUGAUGCAUCUUGACAUCUCGAAUUGUGAAUUUAUAGAUAACCUCCCAAAAUCAUUUGUGAAUCUCAAAAGGUUGGAAUAUCUGGAUUUAUCAAACAACAGUCAGCUUAGAGGUCUAUCAAAAGCUUUGGGUGGCCUAACCAACAUCCAAUACUUGAAUUUAUCAAUGCAAAUAGGUUAUGUAUUGGGUCAAUUUCUUGAGGGGCUGCCAGAGGUCAUUGGUAAUCUAAUUGGACUCCGUUAUUUAGGUCUAUCACAUACCACACGAUCCAUCUUCUGGAAUUCGAGCUCAGAUGAACUAUUCAGUUUCAUUGACCGUAUAUGUACCCUUUCUAAUCUGCAGCAUCUGGACUUGUCUAAUAAUGAUAGUAUAGUAAGUGUUCCUGAGAGUAUUGGCAACCUCAGGAAUCUGCAUACACUGGACCUCUCUUGCUGUUCACAUCUAGUGAGGCUUCCAGAAUGUUUGGUUAGAAUGGAUAAUGUGAAGAUCUUGAAUGUCACCGGGUGCCGCAAACUGGAAAAAUCUGCACUGUCCCGAUCAA